GAUGAACGCUGGCGGCGUGCCUAAUACAUGCAAGUCGAGCGAACGGACGAGAAGCUUGCUUCUCUGAUGUUAGCGGCGGACGGGUGAGUAACACGUGGAUAACCUACCUAUAAGACUGGGAUAACUUCGGGAAACCGUAGCUAAUACCGGAUAAUAUUUUGAACCGCAUGGUUCAAAAGUGAAAGACGGUCUUGCUGUCACUUGUAGAUGGAUCCGCGCUGCAUUAGCUAGUUGGUAAGGUAACGGCUUACCAAGGCAACGAUGCAUAGCCGACCUGAGAGAGUGAUCGGCCACACUGGAACUGAGACACGGUCCAGACUCCUACGGGAGGCAGCAGUAGGGAAUCUUCCGCAAUGGGCGAAAGCCUGACGGAGCAACGCCGCGUGAGUGAUGAAGGUCUUCGGAUCGUAAAACUCUGUUAUUAGGGAAGAACAUAUGUGUAAGUAACUGUGCACAUCUUGACGGUACCUAAUCAGAAAGCCACGGCUAACUACGUG
rnacentral:rRNA from 1 species